AUUGAACGCUGGCGGCAUGCUUUACACAUGCAAGUCGAACGGUAACAGGCCGCAAGGUGCUGACGAGUGGCGAACGGGUGAGUAGUGCAUCGGAACGUGCCCAGUCGUGGGGGAUAACGCAGCGAAAGCUGUGCUAAUACCGCAUACGAUCUAUGGAUGAAAGCGGGGGACCGUAAGGCCUCGCGCGAUUGGAGCGGCCGAUGUCAGAUUAGGUAGUUGGUGGGGUAAAGGCCCACCAAGCCGACGAUCUGUAGCUGGUCUGAGAGGACGACCAGCCACACUGGGACUGAGACACGGCCCAGACUCCUACGGGAGGCAGCAGUGGGGAAUUUUGGACAAUGGGCGCAAGCCUGAUCCAGCAAUGCCGCGUGCAGGAAGAAGGCCUUCGGGUUGUAAACUGCUUUUGUACGGAACGAAACGGUCUGGGUUAAUACCCUGGGCUAAUGACGGUACCGUAAGAAUAAGCACCGGCUAACUACGUGCCAGCCGCCGCUGUAACAC
rnacentral:rRNA from 1 species